rnacentral:rRNA from 1 species
GACGAACCGAGCGAACGUUGUUCGGAAUCACUGGGCUUAAAGGGCGCGUAGGCGGGUAUUCAAGUCUGUGGUGAAAUCCGGCAGCUUAACUGUCGAAUUGCCAUGGAAACUGGGUAUCUCGAGGGAGGUAGGGGUGCGCGGAACUGAUGGUGGAGCGGUGAAAUGCGUUGAUAUCAUCAGGAACUCCGGUGGCGAAGGCGGCGCACUGGACCUCUUCUGACGCUGAGGCGCGAAAGCCAGGGGAGCAAACGGGG